rnacentral:lncRNA from 1 species
CCGACCCUGCAGGGCGCGGCAGAGGGCUCGCCUGGCCGCUAGCCCCGGAGUGCCCCACGCCAGCCUCACGUGGCUCAGAGUUCGGGAGUGGAGUCCCGGACUCCUCGUGGGCCACAAGAAGCCCGGGAGUCAGGAUCUCCUACACUUCCCACGCCAGCCUCACGUGGUUCGAGUUCCUGUCGGAGAGCGAGGACGGGGCGGUCAAGAGCGAGAAGAGCGUCAAGAGCACCAGGGUGAAGCGACGUCUGAGCUCCCUCCGCAGCCGGGUCACCAGGCAGAAGGAGAAGGUCAGGGGCAGGCGGGGAGGGGACACGCCCCACUUCCACCCCCAGCGGGGCCGGGGCAGGCGCACAGGCCAGGGAAGGGCGGAAGGUGCCCUGACACCCAGCCCGUCCGUGCAGGGGAAGAGCGCAGUGCAGCUGAAGGCUCGGGACAGCAGGGAGAGGUGGGAGUGUGUCAGCGGGCACCGGCUGGUGCGGGGGACCUCCACGGGCCACUCCAGCUGCCCGCUGUGUAGCAGGCCGCUCCUGAGCCCCGGUGAGUCCCGCACCCCGAUCCAUCCACCCCUCCCUCUUCCUUCCUGCCUCAGCCUCCUUUGCGAAUCCUUGUUCCAUGUACGGUGGACCCUUGACUUACAAAUUCAAUUGGUUCCCGAGGGCUGGUUGUAACUCAAGUCAGUCAUGAAGGCUCAGGCUCCUCUACACAGCCUUCAAAGUCUCUCUCCUGUACACAGGCGGAUCUCAGUGUCCUUAGAGAGACACUGGUCCAAGAUUUCUCGGUUAACCCACACAGGUAAGGAUGCUGCAGUGUUCCUUCCAGAACUCUUUAUGGGUUAAAUCUGUAUCUGAGACCAUCUGGAAGCACAAGCAGCCAGCAUUGGGGUUGUAACUCAAGGCUUUCUAAGUUAAAACUUAAAUUCUGGUCGUAACCCAAGUUGUUCAUAUGUCAGGCUGCUCGUAACUCAAGGGUCCACUGUAUUUCCUUCUUCCCCAUGUGGGUGGCUCUCUCGGGCCCUCGAGGGAAGCAGGGAUAGGUCACCAUGGACAGAGACAUUUGGGUGGUCUCGGCCCUGGCGAUGCCUCCUUACAUCUCAACUUUUAUCCCUGGGGGGACCCGGUCAUGUUGGAUUAGGGGCCCACCCUACCCCGAUGUGAUCUCAUUUCCAAAUGAGGUCACCUCCUAAAGCCUGGGGAGGGAGGCGAAUUCAUGGUUAACAAGCAGAUUCCUGCCCCCAGGCUCGCUGAGGUUGUGGGGUAGGGGAACCAGGGUCUCUGCUCAGAAAACUGGACUAAGAAGCCGGGUGUGGUGGUGCACACCUGUCAUCCCAGCUACUUGGGAGGCUGAGGUAGGAAGAUUACAAGUUUGGGGCCAGCUGGUGAAAUUUAGCUAGACCUUGUCACAAAUCAAAUAAAAUCAGAGUAAAAUGGCUGGGGAUGUAGCUCAGUGGCAGAGUGCUUGCCUAGCAUGCCCAAGGCCCUGGGUUCAAGGCUCAGUACUGCCAAAAAACAGUUUCAAGACAUUGCCAGAUGUCCCCACCAGGGGAUGAAUUGCCCCAGUGAGACCCGAUGGGCUGGUGAGAAAGCACCUUGCCCAAGGUGGCUUAGAUGUCGGUGCAGAGAGAGCAGCGUCUCUACCCUCGGUGACUGUGUGGGCACUCAGGCUGCUGUCGAAAUGUGUAGCGUUGCCUUGCGAGGUCCUUCGAGGUCCAUGAGUUGAGCAACAGGCAGCUUCCGGUUCUGACUGGCAUCCCUUUCUCUUCUGCGGGGCUGGGGCUUACGUACUGGGUCUGUCCUGGGCUUCAGAUUUCAGCGGCAGGUGGAAGGGGGAACUGGAAACCUGGACCCACGGC